rnacentral:lncRNA from 1 species
UGCUCUUUCCUCCUCUCUCUCUCCCGGCUCCUCACGCUCUCUUUCUCUUUCCUCACAUGCCCCCUAUCUCCCGCCUCCUCACGCUCUCCUUCUCUCUCGUCCUCUCUCGCUCCCUUCCCUGCUCUCUUUCUCUCGUUCUCUCUCGCUCUCUCACGCUCCCUUGUUUCUUCCUUCGCGCAUAUGAGCCGCCCCUUUCUCUCGCACAACCGCAGCUCCUCCCUCAGCUACUUUCUCUUCUAUAGCUCAUCAUCUCCUCCUUCCCUCCUCUCUCUCUCCCAUUGUUCCCUCCUCCCUCCAUGCGUGCAGAAACGGGUGAGAGGGUACCAUGCC